GACAAUAAUUCCUCCAAGAAGAGUAGUUGGGUCCUUCCCAUUCUGGAAAAUUCCAAAGCAGUAUGCCCCACGCACCUUUGAGUGCCUGAAUAAGUAGUUUUCAGGUGUGAGAGAUAGUUUCUUUCCAUUGCUGAACACCAUGUCAACAGAGGGAAAUGAUUUUGAAAGUUGUGACACGUCACUUUCAGCACCAGAAAAGCAUAUAUCUCUAUAGUUCGGG
rnacentral:misc_RNA from 1 species